rnacentral:rRNA from 1 species
CUCGGUGAUUUUACCGGAGGGGCUACACCCGUUCCCAUCCCGAACACGGCAGUUAAGCCCUCCAGGGCCGAUGGUACUGCAUGGGCAACUGUGUGGGAGAGUAGGUCGUUGCCGGGA